rnacentral:sRNA from 1 species
AAAAAAUCCAAAAAAAAAAGAGAGAAG